rnacentral:rRNA from 1 species
GAUGAACGCUGACAGAAUGCUUAACACAUGCAAGUCAACUGUGGCGGACGGGUGAGUAACGCGUAAAGAACUUGCCUCACGGUUAGGGACAACAUUUGGAAACGAAUGCUAAUACCUGAUACUGUGAGAGAGCUUUGCGUCCCAUUAGCUAGUUGGAGAGGUAACGGCUCACCAAGGCGAGGAUGGGUAGCCGGCCUGAGAGGGUGAUCGGCCACAAGGGGACUGGGACAGUGCCAUUACUGCUACGGGAGGCAGCAGUGGAGAAUAUGGGACGAUGGGCCAAAGUCUGAUCCAGCAAUUCUGUGUGCACAAUGAAGUUUUCGGAAUGUAAAGUGCUUUCAGUUGGGAAGCGGUACCAACAGAAGAAGUGACGGCUAAAUACGUGCCAGCAGCCGCGGUAAUUC